rnacentral:ncRNA from 1 species
GAUAAAAUAAUGAUGAGAACAGCAAGUUAGUAUACGAUUCCUUAAGCGAGCCGGUGAUUGGUGUGAGAUCGGUAGGACCAAGUUAUUAAUAGAUCAUCUCUGAAUAUCUGACUGAGUUUUAGUAGGUUGGAUCGGUCCAUCACCGUUAAUUCAUGACUUAAGAGAAUAUUUUUUUAUUCUGAAUUUGGGUGGUACCACGAAGACUUCGUCCCUUGC